CCUACGGGUGACAGCAGUGGGGAAUAUUGGGCCAUGUGCGCAAGCCUGACCCAGCAACGCCGCGUGAAGGAAGAAUGCUUUCGUGUUGUAAACUUCUUUUCUGGGGGACGAACAAAUGACGGUACCCCAGGAAUAAGCCACGGCUAACUACGUGCCAGCAGCCGCUGUACUACGUAGGUGGCAAGCGUUAUCCGGAUUUGUUGGGUGUAAAGGGCGGGAAGGCGGGAAUGCAAGUCAGAUGUGAAAACUAUGGGCUCAACCCAUAGCCUGCAUUUGAAACUGUAUUUCUUGAGUGCUGGAGAGGCAAUCGGAAUUCCGGGUGUAGCGGUGAAAUGCGUAGAUAUACGGAGGAACACCAGUGGCGAAGGCGGAUUGCUGGACAGUAACUGACGCUGAGGCGCGAAAGCGUGGGGAGCAAACAGGAUUAGAUACCCGAGUAGUC
rnacentral:rRNA from 1 species